rnacentral:rRNA from 1 species
GGGUUGUGAGGUUAAGCGACUAAGCGUACACGGUGGAUGCCCUGGCAGUCAGAGGCGAUGAAGGACGUGCUAAUCUGCGAAAAGCGUCGGUAAGGUGAUAUGAACCGUUACAGCCGGCGAUGUCCGAAUGGGGAAACCCAGUGUGAUUCGUCACACUAUCGUUAACUGAAUACAUAGGUUAACGAGGCGAACCGGGGGAACUGAAACAUCUAAGUACCCCGAGGAAAAGAAAUCAACCGAGAUUCCCCCAGUAGCGGCGAGCGAACGGGGAGCAGCCCAGAGUCUGAAUCAGCUUGUGUGUUAGUGGAACGGUCUGGAAAGUCCGACGGUACAGGGUGAUAGUCCCGUACACCAAAAUGCACAGGCUGUGAACUCGAAGAGUAGGGCGGGACACGUGGUAUCCUGUCUGAAUAUGGGGGGACCAUCCUCCAAGGCUAAAUACUCCUGACUGACCGAUAGUGAACCAGUACCGUGAGGGAAAGGCGAAAAGAACCCCGGCGAGGGGAGUGAAAAAGAACCUGAAACCGUGUACGUACAAGCAGUGGGAGCACCUUCGGGUGUGACUGCGUACCUUUUGUAUAAUGGGUCAGCGACUUAUAUUCUGUAGCAAGGUUAACCGUAUAGGGGAGCCGCAGGGAAACCGAGUCUUAACUGGGCGUUAAGUUGCAGGGUAUAGACCCGAAACCCGGUGAUCUAGCCAUGGGCAGGUUGAAGGUUGGGUAACACUAACUGGAGGACCGAACCGACUAAUGUUGAAAAAUUAGCGGAUGACUUGUGGCUGGGGGUGAAAGGCCAAUCAAACCGGGAGAUAGCUGGUUCUCCCCGAAAGCUAUUUAGGUAGCGCCUCGUGAACUCAUCUUCGGGGGUAGAGCACUGUUUCGGCUAGGGGGUCAUCCCGACUUACCAACCCGAUGCAAACUACGAAUACCGAAGAAUGUUAUCACGGGAGACACACGGCGGGUGCUAACGUCCGUCGUGAAGAGGGAAACAACCCAGACCGCCAGCUAAGGUCCCAAAGUCAUGGUUAAGUGGGAAACGAUGUGGGAAGGCACAGACAGCCAGGAUGUUGGCUUAGAAGCAGCCAUCAUUUAAAGAAAGCGUAAUAGCUCACUGGUCGAGUCGGCCUGCGCGGAAGAUGUAACGGGGCUAAACCAUGCACCGAAGCUGCGGCAGCGACACUAUGUGUUGUUGGGUAGGGGAGCGUUCUGUAAGCCUGCGAAGGUGUGCUGUGAGGCAUGCUGGAGGUAUCAGAAGUGCGAAUGCUGACAUAAGUAACGAUAAAGCGGGUGAAAAGCCCGCUCGCCGGAAGACCAAGGGUUCCUGUCCAACGUUAAUCGGGGCAGGGUGAGUCGACCCCUAAGGCGAGGCCGAAAGGCGUAGUCGAUGGGAAACAGGUUAAUAUUCCUGUACUUGGUGUUACUGCGAAGGGGGGACGGAGAAGGCUAUGUUAGCCGGGCGACGGUUGUCCCGGUUUAAGCAUGUAGGCUGAUUAUCCAGGCAAAUCCGGAUAAUCAAGGCUGAGGUGUGAUGACGAGGCACUACGGUGCUGAAGUAACAAAUGCCCUGCUUCCAGGAAAAGCCUCUAAGCAUCAGGUAACAUCAAAUCGUACCCCAAACCGACACAGGUGGUCAGGUAGAGAAUACCAAGGCGCUUGAGAGAACUCGGGUGAAGGAACUAGGCAAAAUGGUGCCGUAACUUCGGGAGAAGGCACGCUGGUGUGUAGGUGAAGUCCCUGCGGAUGGAGCUGAGACCAGUCGAAGAUACCAGCUGGCUGCAACUGUUUAUUAAAAACACAGCACUGUGCAAACACGAAAGUGGACGUAUACGGUGUGACGCCUGCCCGGUGCCGGAAGGUUAAUUGAUGGGGUUAUCCGUAAGGAGAAGCUCUUGAUCGAAGCCCCGGUAAACGGCGGCCGUAACUAUAACGGUCCUAAGGUAGCGAAAUUCCUUGUCGGGUAAGUUCCGACCUGCACGAAUGGCGUAAUGAUGGCCAGGCUGUCUCCACCCGAGACUCAGUGAAAUUGAACUCGCUGUGAAGAUGCAGUGUACCCGCGGCAAGACGGAAAGACCCCGUGAACCUUUACUAUAGCUUGACACUGAACAUUGAGCCUUGAUGUGUAGGAUAGGUGGGAGGCUUUGAAGCGUGGACGCCAGUCUGCGUGGAGCCAACCUUGAAAUACCACCCUUUAAUGUUUGAUGUUCUAACGUUGGCCCCUGACCGGGGUUGCGGACAGUGUCUGGUGGGUAGUUUGACUGGGGCGGUCUCCUCCCAAAGCGUAACGGAGGAGCACGAAGGUUAGCUAAUCCUGGUCGGACAUCAGGAGGUUAGUGCAAUGGCAUAAGCUAGCUUGACUGCGAGCGUGACGGCGCGAGCAGGUGCGAAAGCAGGUCAUAGUGAUCCGGUGGUUCUGAAUGGAAGGGCCAUCGCUCAACGGAUAAAAGGUACUCCGGGGAUAACAGGCUGAUACCGCCCAAGAGUUCAUAUCGACGGCGGUGUUUGGCACCUCGAUGUCGGCUCAUCACAUCCUGGGGCUGAAGUAGGUCCCAAGGGUAUGGCUGUUCGCCAUUUAAAGUGGUACGCGAGCUGGGUUUAGAACGUCGUGAGACAGUUCGGUCCCUAUCUGCCGUGGGCGCUGGAGAAUUGAGGGGGGCUGCUCCUAGUACGAGAGGACCGGAGUGGACGCAUCACUGGUGUUCGGGUUGUCAUGCCAAUGGCACUGCCCGGUAGCUAAAUGCGGAAGAGAUAAGUGCUGAAAGCAUCUAAGCACGAAACUUGCCCCGAGAUGAGUUCUCCCUGAGACUUUAAGUCUCCUGAAGGAACGUUGAAGACGACGACGUUGAUAGGCCGGGUGUGUAAGCGCAGCGAUGCGUUGAGCUAACCGGUACUAAUGAA